rnacentral:rRNA from 1 species
GACGAACGCUGGCGGCGUGCCUAAUACAUGCAAGUAGAACGCUGAAGGAGGAGCUUGCUCUUCUGGAUGAGUUGCGAACGGGUGAGUAACGCGUAGGUAACCUGCCUGGUAGCGGGGGAUAACUAUUGGAAACGAUAGUUAAUACCGCAUAACAGUAGAUGUUGCAUGACAUUUACUUAAAAGGUGCAAUUGCAUCACUACCAGAUGGACCUGCGUUGUAUUAGCUAGUUGGUGGGGUAACGGCUCACCAAGGCGACGAUACAUAGCCGACCUGAGAGGGUGAGCGGCCACACUGGGACUGAGACACGGCCCAGACUCCUACGGGAGGCAGCAGUAGGGAGUCUUCGGCAAUGGACGGAAGGCUGAACGAGCAACGCCGCGUGAGUGAAGAAGGUUUUCGGAUCGUAAAGCUCUGUUGUAAGAGAAGAACGAGUGUGAGAGUGGAAAGUUCACACUGUGACGGUAUCUUACCAGAAAGGGACGGCUAACUACGUG